rnacentral:rRNA from 1 species
AGAGUUUGAUCCUGGCUCAGGAUGAACGCUGGCGGCAUGCCUAACACAUGCAAGUCGAACGGGGUUUAUAUGACGGAACUCUCCGGAGGGAAGAUAUAUAAACCUAGUGGCGGACGGGUGAGUAACGCGUGGGCAACCUGCCCUGUACCGGGGGACAACAGCCAGAAAUGGCUGCUAAUACCGCAUAAGCCCGCUGUGCCGCAUGGCACAGCAGGGAAAACCACGGUGGUACAGGAUGGGCCCGCGUCUGAUUAGUUAGUUGGCAGGGUAACGGCCUACCAAGACAACGAUCAGUAGCCGGCUUGAGAGAGUGGACGGCCACAUUGGGACUGAGACACGGCCCAGACUCCUGCGGGAGGCAGCAGUGGGGAAUAUUGCACAAUGGGGGGAACCCUGAUGCAGCAAUGCCGCGUGGGUGAAGAAGCACUCCGGUGCGUAAAGCUCUAUCAGCAGGGAAGAAAAUGACGGUACCUGACUAAGAAGCCCCGGCUAACUACGUGCCAGCAGCCGCGGUAAUACGUAGGGGGCAAGCGUUAUCCGGAUUUACUGGGUGUAAAGGGAGCGUAGACGGCGGAACAAGUCAGAAGCGAAAACCCGGGGCUCAACCCUGGGAGUGCUUUUGAAACUGUUUGGCUGGAGUGCAGGAGAGGUAAGCGGAAUUCCUAGUGUAGCGGUGAAAUGCGUAGAUAUUAGGAGGAACACCAGUGGCGAAGGCGGCCUGCUGGACAUUAACUGACGCUGAGGCGCGAAAGCGUGGGGAGCAAACAGGAUUAGAUACCCUGGUAGUCCACGCUGUAAACGAUGGAUACUAGGGUGUGGGGGGUCUGACCCCCUCCGUGCCGCAGGCUAACGGCAAUAAGUAUCCCACCUGGGGAGUACGAUCGCAAGGUUGAAACUCAAAGGAAUUGACGGGGGCCCGCACAAGCGGGUGGAGUAUGUGGUUUAAUUCGAAGCAACGCGAAGAACCUUACCAGGGCUUGACAUCCCGCUGACCGGUGUAGAGAUACACUUUUCCCUUCGGGGACAGCGGUGGCAGGUGGUGCAUGGUUGUCGUCAGCUCGUGUCGUGAGAUGUUGGGUUAAGUCCCGCAACGAGCGCAACCCUUAUUGUUAGUUGCUACGCAAGAGCACUCUAACGAGACUGCCGUUGACAAAACGGAGGAAGGUGGGGACGACGUCAAAUCAUCAUGCCCCUUAUGGCCGGGGCUACACACGUGCUACAAUGGCGGAAACAGAGGGAGGCAGCCCCGUGAGGGUGAGCGAACCCCAAAAAUACCGCCUCAGUUCGGAUUGUAGUCUGCAACCCGACUACAUGAAGCCGGAAUCGCUAGUAAUCGCGAAUCAGAAUGUCGCGGUGAAUACGUUCCCGGGUCGUGCACUCACCGCCCGUCA